rfam:Paenibacillus dendritiformis C454 PDENDC1000078, whole genome shotgun sequence.
GCAAUAGAAUGGCUUUAUGGGCGGUCGGCUAAUCUCCCGGAAGGGAGGUGAUGCCAGUGAGCGUAUACGAAGCGCUAUCCGUUAUGUUCCAAUUUGGACUUUGGAUAUUCGCGUUACUGACGUUUGUCGUGACGCUGCUGAUAUACCUGCACACAAAAAAAUAGGCCGCCCCCAAGCUAAGGUCACGGCCUAUUCAGGUAUUACCUUGGUUGUAAGCCACCGCCUUUGAAGCGGCUAUUGCGAAAGAGUCGUGUUGCAGCACGGCUC